GAUUCGGCACCUCUCGGGCACCUUUCGGGCACAGUUCGGCACUAGGUUCGGCACCUAUUUUGACAGCAUUUUAAGCAAACUCAAAUUAUCUUAGUAAUCACAAGUUAAAAUUUGUAAACAUUGUCAGUUCGGUGAGGAAAACUUUGCAGUUUUCCUAACAAAAAUACGAGAAAAUUAACAAUCGGAUAAAUAAAGUUUUAAGACUAGUUUUUAAAUUCAUGAUGACGGUGUCUUUUCGAACGUCCUCCCAUGGAACGACAGCAACUCUAGUUUGAAGGCAACCCUGCUCAGCGGGCCAGUUAUUCGAUUCCUCGCGGAUGAACAACCCCCCACGUUGACGACCAAGGGCAAAAAGAAGGACCUGUUCAAGAAGAACACCUCAAACAUUGUCGAUCGCUGCGUCGGUCAAUACGGCAAGGAGGUUCCAUUGUUACCGUGCUGCAUAAUCUAAUGGACAACCUUACUCUCAGGAUACGGAGAAGAAUUAGAUCCACUGAUAGGUGACAACGGGAGAAAAGAAAGUUGGCUAACAUAAAAUUUAAUAAAGAAAGUGUCAAACUAAAAAUAUAUUUUUAUUCACGAUUUUAUUUCACUGAGUUUACAAAACAAUAUAUUUAUAAAAUUUUCUUCUUGUUUCGAAGGAAAACAUCUUUCAUUUCAUGAUCAUCGAGGCCGCGGUACUUCAAGAUGUGGUCCUUGUUUUCGCCGGAUAAACGCCUGUCUCGCACAGACAAUAUUUUCGCGAUUCCAGCGAUUUUUUGUUAAAGGAAAACGUAGACUUGACCGACUUGUUUAAGCCUUGACGGCGCACUUUUGCUGUUUGAACUUGGUGCGCUUUCGCUGCUCAGGGCCAUACACACGGGGCACGUCUUUUUGUUACGUAUAUCCAGGGACACGCAGCUCUUGGUUCUCCUCUGCCUUUUUCAUGGACACACGGGAGAUGGCCUUGCGGACAACACGGAUCUUAGACAGCAAGGACCACUCUGUGAUCUUAGCCAUGCGCAACUUUAGCAGCUCAGGUGAGCUAAUCGAGCUGCUUGGUCAUCUCCUUCUUGCCCUUGUUCCGUAGUUCCUAGCACCAUUUCGCCUGCAGUUGGAAUCCACUCGCUA